rnacentral:rRNA from 1 species
AUUGAACGCUGGCGGCAGGCCUAACACAUGCAAGUCGAGCGGAUGAAGGGAGCUUGCUCCUGGAUUCAGCGGCGGACGGGUGAGUAAUGCCUAGGAAUCUGCCUGGUAGUGGGGGAUAACGUCCGGAAACGGGCGCUAAUACCGCAUACGUCCUGAGGGAGAAAGUGGGUGAUCUUCGGACCUCACGCUAUCAUAUGAGCCUAGGUCGGAUUAGCUAGUUGGUGGGGUAAAGGCCUACCAAGGCGACGAUCCGUAACUGGUCUGAGAGGAUGAUCAGUCACACUGGAACUGAGAAACGGUCCAGACUCGUACGGGAGGCAGCAGUGGGGAAUAUUGGACGAUGGGCGAAAGCCUGAUCCAGCCAUGCCGCGUGUGUGAAGAAGGUCUUCGGAUUGUAAAGCACUUUAAGUUGGGAGGAAGGGCAGUAAGUUAAUACCUUGCUGUUUUGACGUUACCAACAGAAUAAGCACCGGCUAACUUCGUG